rnacentral:rRNA from 1 species
AACGAACGCUGGCGGCAUGCCUAACACAUGCAAGUCGAACGAGACCUUCGGGUCUAGUGGCGCACGGGUGCGUAACGCGUGGGAACCUGCCUUUAGGUUCGGAAUAACUCAGAGAAAUUUGAGCUAAUACCGGAUGAUGUCUUCGGACCAAAGAUUUAUCGCCUUUAGAUGGGCCCGCGUUGGAUUAGCUAGUUGGUGGGGUAAAGGCCUACCAAGGCGACGAUCCAUAGCUGGUCUGAGAGGAUGAUCAGCCACACUGGGACUGAGACACGGCCCAGACUCCUACGGGAGGCAGCAGUGGGGAGUAUUGGACAAUGGGCGAAAGCCUGAUCCAGCAAUGCCGCGUGAGUGAUGAAGGCCUUAGGGUUGUAAAGCUCUUUUACCCGAGAUGAUAAUGACAGUAUCGGGAGAAUAAGCUCCGGCUAACUCCGUG